rnacentral:misc_RNA from 1 species
GAUGAAGAACGUAGCGAAAUGCGAUACGUAAUGUGAAUUGCAAAUUCAGUGAAUCAUCGAGUCUUUGAACGCACAUUGCGCCCCCUGGUAUUCCGGGGGGCAUGCCUGUCCGAGCGUCAUUGCUGCCCUCAAGCACGGCUUGUGUGUUGGGCCCCGUCCUCCGAUCCCGGGGGACGGGCCCGAAAGGCAGCGGCGGCACCGCGUCCGGUCCUCGAGCGUAUGGGGCUUUGUCACCCGCUCUGUAGGCCCGGCCGGCGCUUGCCGAUCAACCCAAAUUUUUUAUCCAGGUUGACCUCGGAUCAGGUGGGGAUACCCGCUGAACUUAAGCAUAUCAAUAAGCGGAGGA